UACGUAGGGGGCAAGCGUUGGUCCGGAUUUAUUGGGCGUAAAGAGCAGUGUAGGCGGCCAGACAGGUCCGUUGUGAAAACUCCGAGGCUCAACCUCGAGACGCCGAUGGAAACCGUCUGGCUAGAGUCCGGAAGAGGAGAGUGGAAUUCCUGGUGUAGGCGGUGAAAUGCGUAGAUAAUCAGGAGGAACACCUGUGGUGUGAGACGGCUCUCUGGACCGCAACUGACGCUGAGACACGAAAAGCGUGGGUAGCAAACAGG
rnacentral:rRNA from 1 species